AGUCACACAGUCCUUGACGGUAUAAUAACCACCAUCAUGGCGACCAUCCAAAGGAUAAACAUCAUAGGCAGUCGGGAGGGUAGUCGGAACCGAAGAAGACUCAAAGCGAACCAAACAGGCAAAAAAUUUAGGGUCGGCAUCAAAAGCAAUAUCAGCACCAACAGAAACAACCUGAUUAGCGGCGUUGACAGAUGUAUCCAUCUGAAUGCAAUGAAGAAAACCACCAUUACCAGCAUUAACCGUCAAACUAUCAAAAUAUAACGUUGACGAUGUAGCUUUAGGUGUCUGUAAAACAGGUGCCGAAGAAGCUGGAGUAACAGAAGUGAGAACCAGCUUAUCAGAAAAAAAGUUUGAAUUAUGGCGAGAAAUAAA
rnacentral:rRNA from 1 species